CCUACGGGUGGCAGCAGUGAGGAAUAUUGGUCAAUGGGCGGAAGCCUGAACCAGCCAAGUAGCGUGCAGGAUGACGGCCCUACGGGUUGUAAACUGCUUUUAUACGGGAAUAACGCGCCUUACGUGUAGGGUUUUGCAUGUACCGUAUGAAUAAGGAACGGCUAAUUCCGUGCCAGCAGCCGCGGUAAUACGGAAGGUCCGGGCGUUAUCCGGAUUUAUUGGGUUUAAAGGGAGCGUAGGCCGCAUGUCAAGCGUGCUGUGAAAUGUCCGGGCUCAACCCGGGCCUUGCAGCGCGAACCGGCGUGCUUGAGUCCGCGGAAGGCAGGCGGAAUUCGUCGUGUAGCGGUGAAAUGCUUAGAUAUGACGAAGAACCCCGAUGGCGAAGGCAGCUUGCUGCAGCGGAACUGACGCUGAUGCUCGAAAGCGCGGGUAUCGAACAGGAUUAGAUACCCGUGUAGUC
rnacentral:rRNA from 1 species